rnacentral:lncRNA from 1 species
CAAACACUUCCACUAGAAAUGCUGACCAAUGCCUGGAUUCUCUGCUCAUUCUAGGGGAAACCAGCUGCCAUAUUAAGAAAACAGUCCUAUGGAAAGGGCCAUGGAACAAAGAAGUGACUUCUGCCAACAACCUCAUGAGUGAACCUAGAAGUGGCUCAUCUAGUCCUGGUCAAAUCUUAUGGACUGUGGCUCCAACUGAUAGUGUGACUGUAACUUCAUAAGAGACGCUGAACCAGACCACCCAAUAAGACACUCCCAGAUUCCCUACUCUCAAAAGUUGUGUGAAAUAAUCACCCCCAGUUGUAUUAAACUGCUAAGUUUUGGGGUAGUGUGUUACACAGCAAUAAAUCAUAAAUACAACAUCCAAG